UCUGUAGGAGUUGAGCCCCAGUCAUCAGAAGUGGCAACUGGAUGGUAGUGCACCAUCAGCUUGUAAACAAGAAGAGCCUGUCAUUAAGCUGCAUUGCAUACUGUGGUUAAGCAGAGGAGAAAUUUUGCUACAACAGCUGGUGCAGCGGCGCACUUCAGAUACCUCCUCCUCCCAGUAUACUGCAACGCGCUGCCUCUUCUUCAGAUGCACGUCGUACCUGCCUCCUGACGUUGGGACAACCAGAUCUUCUUUGCCUCUCCCUGUGGGAACCAAGGCCUGAAAUUAAUUGUGAGAGGACCAGAAAACUAUGCUACUGGAAAGCUAUGUACCACGCCAGAGCAGAGGGAUGAGACUUGGAGCACCUUCUGCAGGCAGCACACACAAGCAUGUAUGAGCAAUGGCAGUAGACACCAAUGUUGUCCAUACCCGAGCAUGGAGAACCACGUCAAUGGGCAUCCUAGGAGAGAUGCCCCAAGUCAGACUUCCCCCAGAGGCAGAAGAUCGCCAUCCGAGCCGUGACCCACUUUGGUUCUGCGUUGAAGGAGACAAAAAGCGGCGGGGACAGAUGCAGUUAUGUCAGUGGGAGUUUUCUGCAGGCUGCAGUGUGGAAGCAAAUUGCAGACUUCGGCUAGAUCCUGCACAAAGGGUAUCCAGACCUUCAUUUCAACAGCUGUGCCAACCAAAUAAGAAAACAAAUGUGGUAACAGAGGAAGGAGUGAGCUCUCUGGUAAUUCUCUAAAGAGCACAAACGUGGUGAGACUGUGGCCUGGGCUUGGUGCUGAACCUGAAACGGCAGAAGGGCAAAGCGGCAGGGUAGCAUGGUCACACUUUUCCCCAGGGCUGGCUCUGCUCCCAAAUACGAGUUACAGGAAUCAAACAUGCAUCCACCUCCAGCAGAAAGGAGUGCCUUCAAGGCAGGUACAGGUGGCUUCAGAGCUCAGUCAUGCCCCGAGCACCAAAGAGAAGUCUAGCAGAGGCUUUUCUCCCUUCCUGCAUCACCAGUACUCCCCUUCCAGCCUUCUCUUCACCUCCUGAGAACACAGGCUCCGCUGCAGCCUUUGCCUCUUGCAAAGCAUGGUUCAGGCUCCCAUCCGCAUAUUGCGAGCUCAGUGGCUCAUCCCACUCUGCCAGCUGGAUUUUUCAGUUCUUGACUUUUCUAGAAAGUGAAAAGUUAGGUCUCUUUGGGUACUUACAUUCUUUCUUUACCUUUUCGUCUCCUUCAUAGCCUUCUAUAGGCAAACUUGUGGGGAAUGCUAAAGGAUCAGAAUAGGACUUAGUAAAUCUGAAAGUGAAUCUGCUAGAAUCCUGUAGCACAAGGACUUGGCUUUCUGCCCCCACACCGAGUGUUUCUUCAGAGCAGUUGAUGGGUUUUGUUGCCUGUAUUACCUUUCCAAAAAAAACCUAAAGAAAGUUAUUACUGUAUCAAGCUAAUUCAAUGAACCUGCAGCAGUCUCUUGGGAAAGAUUUCAGAACACUUACAUGCAGCACUUAAGAAGCCUUUCAACCAUAAGAUAAAACAAAAGAGAUAGAGACACCAUAGCGCUUCUCUUCAUUCCUCUGGGUUUAAAGAGCCACUGGUAGCAAGGCUGGCUGUGUGGAAACCAUCCCUGCCACGAGUAUUUUCACAAGAAGAAACAAAACCAAAGCACAGAUUAAUUCCUGGAGACGCUGCUGACACUGCUGCCUUUCUCAGAGAAAGAAAGGUGGCAUUCACUGGAGCCAGGCCAUUGCUUUCUGUACGCACCGCGAACCGGGAUAGUGACAGGGCAUCAGUAUGUUUAUUGUGAUCUGCUUUAUC